AAAUGGAUGUUCUUUGGGAAUAAGGAUGCUAGUUGCAAUGGAAUUGACACCCAAAAUGAAGUUUUGCAUAUCGAAGUCUCUGAAGUAAUGUAAGGCAGAUGAAUGAAAUUUGUCUGUGAAAUGUGUCACAUACAAGACAUGAGGAUUUGAGACAUUCUACAUAUUGAAAGGUUUGUUACUAAAGUCAUAAACUUUGGAGAAGUGUGAGUAAGGAAACAAAAGUUACUAGAGGACUGCAGUGGAUUUAGGAAUUUUUCUGUCGCUUAGUGGUGGAACUGGA
rnacentral:lncRNA from 12 species